GCACCAGUUGGGAUGACUACCUUAUUUCGCAUGAAAUAGGGAGGAAAGUCCGAACAUCGCUCAUUUAAAAAUGAGACAAUUAGCACCUUGGCGACAAGGCAGGGAGUGAUCUCUGGAUUUAGGGCCACAGAAAUAUACCGCCACGAGCUUGCUCGAGGUAAGGGUGAAAAGGUGAGUUUUGUUUCUCUCUUAAGAAGAAAUGAAAUUUUGGGUAAGAGCCCACCGUUCCGUAAAGUAAUUUGCGGAAGCAAGGUAACCUCUGCUAGAUGCAACCAAGUAAAUUUUGGGCACUAGAUAAAUUGUCAUCGGCUUGGGGUCCUUGUUGAAAAACUUGGAAUUUCAGGUUAACAGAAUUCGGCUUACUAACUGGUGCCAAU
rnacentral:RNase_P_RNA from 1 species